rnacentral:rRNA from 1 species
UACAGAGGGGGCAAGCGUUGUUCGGAAUUACUGGGCGUAAAAGGGCGCGUAGGCGGCCUGCUAAGUCGAACGUGAAAUCCCUGGGCUCAACCCAGGAACUGCGUCCGAUACUGGUUGGCUUGAAUCCGGGAGAGGGACGUGGAAUUCCAGGUGUAGCGGUGAAAUGCGUAGAUAUCUGGAGGAACACCGGUGGCGAAGGCGGGUCUCUGGGCCGAUACUGACGCUGAGGAGCGAAAAGCGUGGGGGGGAGCAAAACAGG